rnacentral:rRNA from 1 species
CGGGGGGCUGCAGUGGGGAAUAUUGCACAAUGGGCGCAAGCCUGAUGCAGCAACGCCGCGUGAGGGACGACGGCCUUCGGGUUGUAAACCUCUUUUAGUAGGGAAGAAGCGAAAGUGACGGUACCUGCAGAAAAAGCACCGGCUAACUACGUGCCAGCAGCCGCGGUAAUACGUAGGGUGCAAGCGUUAUCCGGAAUUAUUGGGCGUAAAGAGCUCGUAGGCGGUUUGUCACGUCUGCUGUGAAAACUGGAGGCUCAACCUCCAGCCUGCAGUGGGUACGGGCAGACUAGAGUGCGGUAGGGGAGAUUGGAAUUCCUGGUGUAGCGGUGGAAUGCGCAGAUAUCAGGAGGAACACCGAUGGCGAAGGCAGAUCUCUGGGCCGUAACUGACGCUGAGGAGCGAAAGCAUGGGGAGCGAACAGGAUUAGAUACCCCGGUAGUC